rnacentral:tRNA from 1 species
GGGAGGAUGGCUCAGUGGUAGAGUGCUUGCCUUGCAUGCAUGAGGCUCUGGGUUGGAUUCCUCCG